AGCACUGCAUGGUGUCUGCACCCAGCAGCGUUUUCUUGCUGGGGUGUUCAAAGGAGAGUGUGAUAGAAAUUCAGUAUCUUGCAACGUUGGCUUUCUUGGUUUUGUGCAUGUUAAACCUGGUAUUUCUAUUGAUACAAUU